UGUUUUGAAAACCGGACCGGACCGGCCGGUCCGACCGGUUCAACCGCGAACCGCCGCCAUGUCCGGUCCGGUUAUAUGUGAAAACCCAAAAACGUCAAAAAACCGGGUCAACUACCAAAAUCCGGGUUCGACCGGUAAGAACCGGAAAAGUGGAAAACCGGCCCAAGAAUCGUUUUUUAGCUCAAAAGAAAAUUUCAUGGCCGGAUCCACAACGAUGGUGUUCGUGGGUGACUGAAUCUUACCGGGAAAGUUUGUGGAUUAACGGAUCUAGGCGGAUUUGGGUCAUAUGUGACAGAAGAAAAUAAACGAAGAAGGUGAAAAUGAAAGUAAAGAGUAAAACGAAAAAAGAGGUGGACUUUGUUUUUGUCUGUGAGAAAUUAAAAGAAGAAAGAACAACAGGAGGCUGAAGAAAGAAAGCAGAAGGGAAGAAGA
rnacentral:lncRNA from 1 species